rnacentral:tRNA from 1 species
UAGUGUAAUCGGUAAGCACAACAGACUGGACAUCUAUAGAUGCGGGUUCUAGUCCCGC